GAUUAACGCUAGCGGCAGGCCUAAUACAUGCAAGUCGAACGGCAGCACGGGUAGCAAUACCUGGUGGCGAGUGGCGCACGGGUGCGUAACACGUAUGCAAUCUACCUAUAACUGGGGAAUAGCUCUCCGAAAGGAGAAUUAAUACCGCAUAACAUCAAGAGGCGGCAUCACCUUUUGAUCAAACCUCCGGGGGUUAUAGAUGAGCAUGCGCAACAUUAGCUAGUUGGUGAGGUAACGGCCCACCAAGGCAACGAUGUUUAGGGGGUCUGAGAGGAUGAUCCCCCACACUGGUACUGAGACACGGACCAGACUCCUACGGGAGGCAGCAGUAAGGAAUAUUGGACAAUGGGGGCAACCCUGAUCCAGCCAUGCCGCGUGAAGGAU
rnacentral:rRNA from 1 species